rnacentral:lncRNA from 1 species
ACGGUACUCGUUUCCAGACAGAAGUCAUGAGGAACAAGAGGGAAGGUGCUUUCCCGUGUGCAGCGCUUGGGGAGACUCACACAGACAGAGGAUCUGGCAUGACAGGGAAAGGAGGAAAUGGCUUCUGUUAAUCUCUCCUUCAGCUUCUCCCGCCCUUCCCAUGCACUCUUCCUGUUUCCCUUUCCAGUUCUCACGGUGACUCAAGGAACAACGUGUGAAAUGAAAGACCUCAGGUGCUGUAUUGGCUCUUGACAGCUCUUCAGAAGAAAAUACCUCCUGCCUGUUCUGUUCAGUCCUGGUGCAGACAGCUCCAGCCCACCUCUCUCAGCAAAGGUCUGCCUUGCAUAUAUAAGUGCUCAGUCAAUGUCUGAAGAAUGGACGAAAGGGCAAACUUUGAUAAGCUGAACUGGGCCUUUCUUGUUCGAGAUUUGCAAAGGAUAGUCAAGAUCCUUCUUCAAUCACUAGCAUUUCAAAAGGGUUCUUGAAAUGACAAAAUGGUUCCUUUGCACUGUCGACAUUUUCAUCAUCAAUGAAUAUUUAUGAAGUGCCCACAUGGAGGUUGCUUGCCAGUUCCGAACCCAGAUAAGAGGGAAGGUUCUUUAUUCUGUUGCAGAGGGGCGUUUAGUCAGUAAACUGCAUUUCUUUUAACUUCUGAAAGCCUUCCUUUUUUCUGGGGAAAAAAAUGUCAUUUUGCUUUUGCAAAUGAGAGAGUAAAGCUUUUGGCUAUUG